rnacentral:rRNA from 1 species
AUGCCUACGGGGGGCAGCAGUCGAGAAUCAUUCACAAUGGGGGAAACCCUGAUGGUGCGACGCCGCGUGGGGGAAUGAAGGUCUUCGGAUUGUAAACCCCUGUCAUGUGGGAGCAAAUUAAAAAGAUAGUACCACAAGAGGAAGAGACGGCUAACUCUGUGCCAGCAGCCGCGGAUAUACAGAGGUCUCAAGCUAUGGUCGGAAUCACUGGGCAUAAAGCGUGCGGAGGCUGUUUCGUACGUCGUGUGUGAAAGGCGCGGGC